rnacentral:tRNA from 1 species
GGCCCGUUCGUCUAUCGGUUAGGACCUCAGAUUUUCAUUCUGGUAAGAGGGUUCGAUUCCCCUACGGGCUA